GGUCCUGUAGUGUAGUGGUUUAUCACUUGGGAUUUUGAUCGCGUUCGCCAUUGCAAUUGGACGUCGGUGAGCCAUGGAUCUUCCCAAAACCCAGGUUCGAACCCUGGCAGGACCU